rnacentral:rRNA from 1 species
GAUGAACGCUAGCGGGAGGCCUAACACAUGCAAGCCGAGCGGUAUUGUUUCUUCGGCAAUGAGAGAGCGGCGUACGGGUGCGUAACACGUGUGCAACCUGCCUUUAUCUGGGGGAUAGCCUUUCGAAAGGAAGAUUAAUACUCCAUAAUAUAUUGAACGGCAUCGUUUAAUAUUGAAAGCUCCGGCGGAUAGAGAUGGGCACGCGCAAGAUUAGCUAGUUGGUGAGGUAACGGCUCACCAAGGCGAUGAUCCUUAGGGGGCCUGAGAGGGUGAUCCCCCACACUGGUACUGAGACACGGACCAGACUCCUACGGGAGGCAGCAGUGAGGAAUAUUGGUCAAUGGGUGCAAGCCUGAACCAGCCAUCCCGCGUGAAGGACGACUGCCCUAUGGGUUGUAAACUUCUUUUGUAUAGGGAUAAACCUACCCUCGAGAGGGUAGCUGAAGGUACUAUACGAAUAAGCACCGGCUAACUCCGUG